rnacentral:piRNA from 1 species
UCUUAAGGGUAAUCAGUUGUGCCUUUUGGAU